ACCACUGAUUUUUAGUGACAGUCGAUAUGCAUGGGCUACUGGCGAUGAGAGUUUCCCCCCUCCCCUCUCCUCUCACAGCCACCACGCCCAUUUAAGUUGCAUUUUUCAAAAAGAUUGUGAGCUAGACUUGAGCUGAAAGAGGGGGGUUUCAUGACCCUUUAACAUUAAUGUUAUGGAAUAACAUACUGAACACUACAUCAAAGUUGGUGUCAUUUGAUAAACUAUGGGGAAAGAGCACCAAUUUAAUGUUUAUUUCAUGACUGAUGUCAGUCCACAAAGCAUUUUUAUCCUUAUUUAGAGUGAACUUGGAGGGUGUAGUCAGUGUUACUUCAUAACAUGCUCAUCAAAUACGCAUUUACAAUGUGUUGAAAUGGAAAGUAUCUUCUGCUUUUGUGAGUGACUGCUCUGUUGUGUGGAGAAAAAAAAUUAAAUAAACCCAGUGCCAAUGAGAAGGAUCCUUCUGGUCAGGUUAAUAUCACAGACGUGGAUUAUGUCAACACUGCCAGAAACAUCACGAUCAAUGAACAGAUUUCUGAUGAUGAAACACUGAUCAUCUACUACGAAAACACUGACAUCCCAAAGCAGAAGAACUGCUGCAUCACAGAGACACACUUCAAACAUGAUGAAUACACAGAAAUAGAGUACAGAGUAUUUCAGGUUUUGUAGGCUCACUUAAGGCCAAUUCACACUGCACCGACAGACGCAGUUACCCCUGUUGGCAUCUGUCGGGUCAUGGAAUGUUUGAAGUGAUAUACUAUAAUCUGCUGAUUAUCCGUGCUGGACGCUGUCUGUCAGUGCAGUUUGAAUUGACCUACAGUGGGUAUAAAAAGUCAACACACCCCUGUUUAAAUUGCAGAUUUUUUUCCUUUUUUGAUUUUUGAACAAAUUAAUCCAAGUAAUAAAUGUAAGAUUUUCUUCAAAGAAACUCUUAAGAAAAAUGUUUAAGGAAAAAAUGAACCUAAAUUUACUUGGAUGCAUUAAUGUGCACACUGUUUGCAAUUAACCAAAUACAUUCAAACUCUCACUAAAAAGUCUUCAUUUGAAUGAUGCUGAUUAACCCUUAAUAAAAAUCAACUCUUUCUGGAUUCUGUACAAUUUUCUUGGCCUUAUUGCUGAAGCCAUAGCCCACAUUGAGCUUACAAAGGAUGUGCAGGAUCUCAUUGUGAAGAGGUACGAAUCAGGAGAAGGGUACAAAAUGUACCAUGGUAUACAAUGAAGGCCAUCAUCAACAAGUGGAGACAAUGGGGCACCACAAUGACAUUCUGAAGAACAGGGAAGCUGUCGAAAAAUGGAUGUAAAAACAAGAUGAAAAGUUAUCAAGGAGGCUGCCAAGAGACUUAUAGUAACAUUAAAGGACCUUCAGGACUAUCUGACAAGUACUGGUCUAUUGCCUCAUGUGACAACAAUAUCCGGACGGAAGCCAUUAAUCACAUACUUUUAGGCCAUAAUUUGAAAAAAAUAGAUUUGGCACAAAACUGACAAGACUGCUUAUCGCCCAAACGACACCAUAUGCACAUCAGUGCUGUAACUGAAUAUAUGUAAUUUAUAAAACAGUUAGUUCCUGUCCUUGAUUUCGAUUGGUCAAUAGCUGUGUUUUAUUCACGAUAAUACACGGCUAUGACCGCUUCACCCAAUGGGUCUGUGUAUCACAAAACCCU